UGGGGAAUAUUGCACAAUGGAGGGAACUCUGAUGCAGCGACGCCGCGUGAGUGAUGAAGGAAUUCGUUUCGUAAAACUCUGUUCUAUGGGAAGAAAAGGACUGUACCAUAGGAGAAAGCUCCGGCUAAAUACGUGCCAGCAGCCGCGGUAAUACGUAUGGAGCGAGCGUUGUCCGGAAUUAUUGGGCGUAAAGGGUGCGCAGGCGGCUUUACAAGUUGGAUGGGAAAUAUUGUGGCUCAACCACAAACGUGCAUCCAAAACUGCAAAGCUGGAGUUAAGGGGAGGUAAGUGGAAUUCCUGGUGUAGCGGUGGAAUGCGUAGAUAUCAGGAGGAAUACCGGUGGCGAAGGCGACUUACUGGACUUAAACUGACGCUCAGGCACGAAAGCGUGGGGAGCAAACAGG
rnacentral:rRNA from 1 species